AGCAGUCGCCGCGGUAAUGCGAAGGGUGCAAGCGUUACUCGGAAUUACUGGGCGUAAAGCGUGCGUAGGUGGUGGUUUAAGUCCGUUGUGAAAGCCCUGGGCUCAACCUGGGAAUUGCAGUGGAUACUGGGUCACUAGAGUGUGGUAGAGGAUAGUGGAAUUUCCGGUGUAGCAGUGAAAUGCGUAGAGAUCGGGAGGAACGUCAGUGGCGAAGGCGGCCAUCUGGGACAACACUGACGCUGAGGCACGAAAGCGUGGGGAGCAAACAGGAUUAGAUACCCGUGUAGUCCCUGUCUCUUAUAC
rnacentral:rRNA from 1 species